GUAUCUUGACUGUGCAAAGGUAGCAUAAUCACUUGCUUCUUAAUUAGGAGCUGGAAUGAAAGAGGCGACGAAAUCUAGACUAUUUAAGUUUUAAUAUAAAUUGACAGGCGGGUCAAAAGGCCCGCAUACACCAGGGGGACGAUAAGACCCUAUAAAACUUUACUUUCGGGCCGACGCCCUGCGGGAGGGAGAGUGUCUGAGAGUUUGACUGGGGCGGUUAUUAUAGAAACAAUUAUAGAUAAAAUAUAUUAUAUAGACGGGUAGAACUCUCUAGAGAAAUAGAACAAGUUACUUUAGGGAUAACAGCGCGAUCCCCUCAGAGAGUC
rnacentral:rRNA from 1 species